AGUCUGUACCCGCAUUUGCCUGUGCCCCGCCCCUUAGCACAGUGACCAAGGAAACCACAGAAACCUGGCCAGGGUACAGUCGGCAAGCGAGCAAGCCUUGGCAAUCCCAGAAAAAUUGCGACUGCCAGGGCUCGAACCUACGCCUGAGCGACUAGAUCGGAAAAGCG